rnacentral:rRNA from 1 species
GAUGAACGCUGGCGGCGUGCCUAAUACAUGCAAGUCGAGCGAACAGACGAGGAGCUUGCUCCUCUGACGUUAGCGGCGGACGGGUGAGUAACACGUGGAUAACCUACCUAUAAGACUGGGAUAACUUCGGGAAACGGGAGCUAAUACGGGAUAAUAUAUUGAACCGCAGGGUUCAAUAGUGAAAGAGGGUUUUGCUGUACCUUAUAGAUGGAUCCGCGCCGCAUUAGCUAGUUGGUAAGGUAACGGCUUACCAAGGCAACGAUGCGUAGCCGACCUGAGAGGGUGAUCGGCCACACUGGAACUGAGACACGGUCCAGACUCCUACGGGAGGCAGCAGUAGGGAAUCUUCCGCAAAGGGCGAAAGCUUGACGGAGCAACGCCGCGUGAGUGAUGAAGGUCUUCGGAUCGUAAAACUCUGUUAUUAGGGAAGAACAAAUGUGUAAGUAACUAUGCACGUCUUGACGGUACCUAAUCAGAAAGCCACGGCUAACUACGUG